rnacentral:rRNA from 1 species
AGUGAACGCUAGCGACAGGCCUAACACAUGCAAGUCGAGGGGUAACAGGGAAGCUUGCUUCCGCUGACGGCCGGCGCACGGGUGCGUAACGCGUAUGCAACCUACCUUACACGUGGGGGAUAGCCCGAAGAAAUUCGGAUUAAUACCCCAUAACAUUGCGAGAUCACAUUGUUUUGCAAAUUAAAACUCCGGUGGUGUAAGAUGGGCAUGCGUGACAUUAGAUAGUUGGUGAGGUAACGGCUCACCAAGUCGACGAUGUCUAGGGGUUCUGAGAGGAAGGUCCCCCACACUGGUACUGAGACACGGACCAG